CAAGAGUGAAACUUAAAAAAAAAAAAAGAUAAACAAAAUUGACAUACCUCUAGCUAAAUAACCAAAACAAACAAAAAAGAAAGAGGAAGUACAUAACUAAAAAAAUAAAAAUAGAAAUAUUUUUAUAUUUUAUUUAUAAAUAAAUAGUCGGCCUAACCAAUGCGCAUGCGUGAGGCGAGCGGCUCUCGCGUCACAGUGACCCCCACCAUCGCCUGGGUGAUGGGUCCCUGAGGCUGGGCCAAGCAGGAGCCCUCCGUGGCAGUGCGUGGGUGUCGAGGCUCCGGCCUUACCUCUCCAGGGGAUCGACAGGAUGGUCUCCGGAAGCCAGGAGUUGCGGAGGGCCGACUGGGAUGAAGAAACCUCAGGCAGGGGAGUCCCAGGGAAGCAGCGCGCCAUCCCAGCCUCAGGCCUGUUCGGAAGGUGUGGGGCUCUCCUUUCCUUUCCACCAUGAUUGGAAGUUCCCUGAGGCUUUCACCAGAAGCAGAUGCUAGUGCCACGAUUUUUGUACAGCCUGCAGAACUAUAAGUCAAAUAAACCUCUCUUUGUUAUAAAUUA